rnacentral:rRNA from 1 species
GACGAACGCUGGCGGCGUGCUUAACACAUGCAAGUCGAACGGAAAGGCCCUGCUUUUGUGGGGUGCUCGAGUGGCGAACGGGUGAGUAACACGUGAGUAACCUGCCCUUGACUUUGGGAUAACUUCAGGAAACUGGGGCUAAUACCGGAUAGGAGCUCCUGCUGCAUGGUGGGGGUUGGAAAGUUUCGGCGGUUGGGGAUGGACUCGCGGCUUAUCAGCUUGUUGGUGGGGUAGUGGCUUACCAAGGCUUUGACGGGUAGCCGGCCUGAGAGGGUGACCGGCCACAUUGGGACUGAGAUACGGCCCAGACUCCUACGGGAGGCAGCAGUGGGGAAUAUUGCACAAUGGGCGGAAGCCUGAUGCAGCAACGCCGCGUGCGGGAUGACGGCCUUCGGGUUGUAAACCGCUUUCGCCUGUGACGAAGCGUGAGUGACGGUAAUGGGUAAAGAAGCACCGGCUAACUACGUGCCAGCAGCCGCGGUGAUGCGUAGGGUGCGAGCGUUGUCCGGAUUUAUUGGGCGUAAAGGGCUCGUAGGUGGUUGAUCGCGUCGGAAGUGUAAUCUUGGGGCUUAACCCUGAGCGUGCUUUCGAUACGGGUUGACUUGAGGAAGGUAGGGGAGAAUGGAAUUCCUGGUGGAGCGGUGGAAUGCGCAGAUAUCAGGAGGAACACCAGUGGCGAAGGCGGUUCUCUGGGCCUUUCCUGACGCUGAGGAGCGAAAGCGUGGGGAGCGAACAGGCUUAGAUACCCUGGUAGUCCACGCUGUAAACGGUGGGUACUAGGUGUGGGGUCCAUUCCACGGGUUCCGUGCCGUAGCUAACGCUUUAAGUACCCCGCCUGGGGAGUACGGCCGCAAGGCUAAAACUCAAAGGAAUUGACGGGGCCCCGCACAAGCGGCGGAGCAUGCGGAUUAAUUCGAUGCAACGCGUAGAACCUUACCUGGGUUUGACAUGGAUCGGGAGUGCUCAGAGAUGGGUGUGCCUCUUUUGGGGUCGGUUCACAGGUGGUGCAUGGCUGUCGUCAGCUCGUGUCGUGAGAUGUUGGGUUAAGUCCCGCAACGAGCGCAACCCUUGUUCACUGUUGCCAGCACGUUAUGGUGGGGACUCAGUGGAGACCGCCGGGGUCAACUCGGAGGAAGGUGGGGAUGACGUCAAGUCAUCAUGCCCCUUAUGUCCAGGGCUUCACGCAUGCUACAAUGGCUGGUACAGAGAGUGGCGAGCCUGUGAGGGUGAGCGAAUCUCGGAAAGCCGGUCUCAGUUCGGAUUGGGGUCUGCAACUCGACCUCAUGAAGUCGGAGUCGCUAGUAAUCGCAGAUCAGCAACGCUGCGGUGAAUACGUUCCCGGG